rnacentral:rRNA from 1 species
GAUGAACGCUGGCGGCGUGCUUAACACAUGCAAGUCGAACGAGAAGUCGAGACGGAUGCGUUCUGCUGGAAGGCUUUACUUGGAGUAGCGGACGGAUGAAUAACCCGUGGGUAACCUGCCACCUACAGGAGCAUAACACUUAUAAACGACAGUAGAUACCGCAUCACAGCAGCGCACGGCAAGGUUCGGGGGUCAAGGCACCGGUGGUAUGAUAUCGCCCCGUGUGUGAUUAGCCAGAUGGCGGGGGCACGGCCCACCAAAGCGACGAACGAUAGCUGAUCGGGGAGGAUGACCGGCCACAUUGGGACUGAGGCACGGCCCAAAAUCCGACGGGAGGCAGCCGUAUGGAAUACUACACAAUGGAGGACAACUGGAUGCAGCGACGCCGCGUGAGUGAAGAAGUAUUUCGGUAUGUAAGGUUCUCUCAGAAGGGAAGAAAAUGACGGUACCUUAGUAAGAAGCCCCGGCUAACUACGUG